UAUGAAAGUUACAAAAAGGAAGAAGAGAGAUAUGGAGGGAGAAAGGAAAGAAAAGAGGAAAGAAAAAUGGCCAUGGGAGGUGGAAUGUCAGUGAUGCUGAAGGUUUGAACCUGGAUGAUCUCAGAAAAGGGCAGCAAGUUUUCUGGCUCUGCCUUGAAGGUAGGAUUUGUUUCCUCCUUGGGAAAAAAUAACUCAUCAGAGAUAUGAAAAAUUCAGCUGAAUUUAUUUAUGGUGUAGAUAAAGAUCUUUUGCAUGCUUUCCAAUGACGACGUUUUACAAAACUUACAGAGAGAAGAUCCUGGAGUAGCAGGUGUGUGUCGCAGCAGGAGCAGAGGGUAAUGAUGCCGGGGUGCCAUGCUAGGGUUAUGCAUGGCGCCCACAAAGACACCUUGGCACAAAGAAGCAAAAUAUUGAGGAAUGGAGCCACACCUCAGGCUGAAUAUUCACCCUUACUGGAGAGAUAGGCUGUCACCUGUAGGAAAUAACUGUCAAGUAAGGCAGCUGAUCAAAGAGACCGUGUUGAGAAUCCUUAGCCGUUGUCAUGCCAUGGGCAAGUGUGUGUGAGUGUGACUGUGUGUGGGGGUGUCACACAACACGCUGUUCUAUGUCUUUCUUAUACUUUGCCCACCAUUAUUUGUUUAUUCCCACUGUUGUUCAUGAAAAAGCCUUUCCACAUACCUACAGUCAUUUCACAAUUCUGUACAAUUUUCAUCUAGACCUUUAUACAUUCUGGGAAUGGAGUGGAUGCAUUGGGAACAUUUUUGAUCACAAAUCAAUGCCAUUUUGUGUCUUGGUUAGAUGGUAUGACUCAUAGAGAUAAGUGUUUUCCAGAAGAGUCUCCAGACUAAAGACCUGCUAUAGGGAGCAGAAAAUUAAGGUAGUAAGCCUGCUGGUUCCAAAAGUUGUCAGGCUUGCUUUUAGUUUCUGAAGAAAACAGUGGACUUCAGUUUAAUUCUGUUUGAUUGUUUGCAAUAGUGUU